ensembl:lncRNA BCORP1 BCL6 corepressor pseudogene 1
UCUCUGGACCUGCUCGGGAUUGGAGCGUAAUGCAACGUUCUAGGAAAGAGAGUAUUUCUUCUGGGUGUGGCCAACCCGGAUUUGUAGUUCCCAGGCCGGUGUUCCCGUAUGAAACCAAGGACGCCAAGCCAUACAAAUUCAGCACAGCUGACUCAGAGAGGUGGAAAGGAAAUCAGGACAAAAAGCCAAAAUGUCUUCUGGAGGAGGAUAUUGCCAGCCAGAAUAACUGUGAGAGAUGCAAGCAUAGUCCUGGAAACAAACAGCACAAUUCCUUUAAAGCCCUAAAGGAUGAAGAUCUUCCUGUAGAGAAGUAUUUAAUGGAAAGGCAGCCUGUAGGUGAGCCAGCUGCCGACCAGGUAGCUAUGGAUGUGAUGCACAGCCCCAUCCUCCAACUGGAAAGGAAACACAAAGUCUCAAGUGACAGCAACCAGACAGAGACUACUGCAGAGAAGUUGCCAGAGGACUCUUUCCUAAAAAACAAGCAAAAACAGGUUUAUAUAGGGCUACAUCCUAAGAAACACCAUUUGAUGCACCUUAGAGAACAGUAGGAGCAGCAGGUGUUGGCAGCAGAGAACAAACCUAGUCUGCAAGGCAGGAAGGAAGUGACCCAGACAGUCCAGCCUGAGGUCACUGCCUGGGAUUGUGAUAUCAUGAAAGAGAAACUCAGCAAGAAAAGGGCAGAGGUCAAAGGCAACAGAAGCUGGUUGGAAGAAUUUCUUAAACCCAGUGACAACGAAGAAGGCCCUCCACCGAAGAAUAAGGUUUUAUCCAACAAUGCAAGCAGCCAAAAGCCGACUCACUCAAGCUGCAUACCAUUGUUGAGGCUGCCUGAUAAGCAGCAGAAAGUUAAUGAGAGCAUUAAGACAGACAUGCUGUGCACAGACAAGGAAGAGGAGUGCCCUGCUGCCUCCCUGCUGCAGAAAUACACCAAUAACAGUGAGAAGCCAUCUGGGAAGAGACAAUGCAAAACCAAGCACUUGAUAUCUCAGGACCUGAGGCAGGGGUUCCUGCUAACAGGGAAGUGCUACGUUGAGAAUGCUGAUGGCAAGAUACCUCUUGGCACUUGUUUUCUCCUUGGGCUUAUAUAGAGGCUAUUUCCCCUCACCCCAACAUUCCCCACCUACCUGCUUUUCUCAAGGAUGUAAAGCCUUUCUUUUACUGGACUCCUAACUUCCCUGUCUUAGAGGGGAAGUCUUCCUUGAUGGUGAUAAAAUUGGAAACUAUUAAAAUUUAAGUUCAUACCCCAGUCUGUAACACUUUUCCUUUGAUAUUCCACCUCCCAGGAAGGAAAGGAAACUGCCUUCCCCAUGCAGGUUUGUCUUACAGGAAGGAGGAGGGGAAGCAGUGGAUGUGGAAAGGAUGUAGUCUUAAUCUUAACUGUGUAUACUAAUUCGUUUUGUCUUAGUCAACUGUCCCAAGAUUCAGAAAGCAACUUGAACCCAGUUCCAACUAUGAUCUGACUUCAUCCAAGCAGGAGAUGAAGCCCUUCAACUGCUUGCAAGAGUUGCUACCAGCUUCCCAGUCCAUGAAGCUGCCACACUCAUGUUCCCCUCAGGAAACCAACCAAUCUCGCCCAGUGCAGCUGAGAGCAAGGAGAAUUAUUGUCGAUAGGCAUGCUGGUGAGACUCUCCUGCAGCAGGCAGCAUGGCUUGGCUAUGAGGCAAGGUCUUGCUCUGUCACCUAGGCUAGAGUGCAGUGGUGCGAUCUCAGCUUAUUACAACCUCUGCCUCCUGGGCUCAAGUGAUCCUUCUACUUCAGAUUCCUGAGUAGCUGGGACCACAGGCCUCUCCAUGGUGCAGUUGAAAAUGAUUGUUUGGAAAUUGUCCGCCUCCUCCUUUCCUAUGGCGCUGGCCCCACUUUGGCCACCUACUCAGGCAGAACCAUUAUGAAAAUGACCCACAGCAAAGUUAUGGAAAUGUUUCUAACAGAUUACUUAAAUGACCUACAGGGUUGCAGUGACAGUAAGCUGAAUAGCUCUUGGGAGUUCUACGGCAGCUCUGUCUGUGAACCAGAUAAUGGAGGGGAAUCCAAUGUUUUGGCAGACCCCCCAGGACCAGAGGACCAGGAUGAUGACAAUGAGGCUUGCAGUGAUGUGUUUGAAUUUAAAUUUUCAGAUACCCCCUCUUACCUUGUUAAAACAUUCAAGUUUCAUCUUUGCAGGGACCACAAAACUGGUUAUUGCUUUCAGAUGUACUUAAGAAAGUGAAAAUGUCAUCCUGCAUAUUUCGCUGGAGUUUUCCACAUCUGAAAAUUGUCCCAAUUGCAGAGGCAGAGUUUUACAGACAGGUUUCAGCAAGUAUCUUGUUCUCUUCCUCCAAAGACUUGGAAGCCUUCAAUCUGGAAAGCAACAAACUACUAGAUUUACUAGAAUGUACAAAUGAACUCCAGAUUCUCCUUGGCUCCUCUCUGGAAUGCUUAAAUCCCAGGGAUGUGGCCUUGGAGAAGGACCACUGAUGAGAAGUCAAAUCCCACUGUAUACUGUGUGUUCUAGUGUUCAUCCUUGUUUAUAUUUAUCAAAGUACAACUACUUCUGUGGAGGAGGGACAUUAUUACAUAUGAAAAUAUUUCAGCUUUAUAUAAGAUAAACCCUCUAGCUAGAAGAUUUAGAAAGAUGUCUUUUUAUUUUAAACUUU